rnacentral:rRNA from 1 species
CUCGAAAGAGCAGCUAAUACCGCAUACGACCUGAGGGUGAAAGCGGGGGAUCGCAAGACCUCGCGCGAUUGGAGCGGCCGAUAUCAGAUUAGCUAGUUGGUGGGGUAAGAGCCCACCAAGGCGACGAUCUGUAGCUGGUCUGAGAGGACGACCAGCCACACUGGGACUGAGACACGGCCCAGACUCCUACGGGAGGCAGCAGUGGGGAAUAUUGGACAAUGGGCGCAAGCCUGAUCCAGCCAUGCCGCGUGAGUGAUGAAGGCCUUAGGGUUGUAAAGCUCUUUCAGUGGGGAAGAUAAUGACGGUACCCAGUAAAGAAGCCCUGGCUAACUCCGU